UCAAACUUGGUCAUUUAGAGGAAGUAAAAGUCGUAACAAGGUUUCCGUAGGUGAACCUGCGGAAGGAUCAUUAUCGAGUUAGGGUCUUCUUAGGCCUGACCUCCCAACCCUUUGUCGAACUUACCACUUGUUGCUUCGGCGGGCCCGUUCCUUUCACCGAAAGGAGCCGCUGGAGGACGUAACCGUCCUCUGGCCCGCGCCCGUCGAUAGCCCUAAUUUAUCAAAUUCUGAACAAAACGUGUCACAAUCUGAGUAAUCUAUUUAAAUAAAGCAAAACUUUCAACAACGGAUCUCUUGGUUCUGGCAUCGAUGAAGAACGCAGC
rnacentral:misc_RNA from 1 species